GAACCUUACCUGGGCUCGAAAUGCUGCGGACCAGUCUGUGAAAGCAGGCCUUCCCGCAAGGGACCGUAGUAUAGGUGCUGCAUGGCUGUCGUCAGCUCGUGUCGUGAGAUGUUGGGUUAAGUCCCGCAACGAGCGCAACCCUUGUCCUGUGUUGCCAUCAUUCAGUUGGGAACUCGCAGGAGACCGCCAGGGAUAACCUGGAGGAAGGUGGGGAUGACGUCAAGUCCUCAUGGCCUUUAUGUCCAGGGCUACACACGUGCUACAAUGGACGGUACAAAGCGCUGCCAACCCGCGAGGGGGAGCCAAUCGCAAAAAACCGUUCUCAGUUCGGAUUGCAGGCUGCAACUCGCCUGCAUGAAGCUGGAAUCGCUAGUAAUGGCGGAUCAGAACGCCGCCGUGAAUACGUUCCCGGGCCUUGUCACACCGA
rnacentral:rRNA from 1 species